UCCUGCCAGCCUCCUGGACGGACCUCAGGCUCUGUCUGGAUUCCAGAUUAAGUAGGAUCUCUGAGGUCAGAAAAAGCGCCAAGAAGUGGUGGAUGGGCAGCUAAGAUCAGUGUUCCUUUCCCUACCUGGUUUCCUCUCCACUGCAGCUCCCUCAUCCCCACACACACUGACUGAGGACAUCACUGGCCUUUCUGCUGAAUCCGGAGGUGUGGGAUUUGACAGAACCGGGUCUAGGAGUCCUAUAUGUAAAAAGUAAACCUGGCAGCAUAUGGACAUCAGCACAGACAGACACACAAAUAUCCAGAUGUACCUACCCCCUUCAGCAGCCAGGAUCCAAAUCACCUCCAGCAGGAGAGUGAAGAACAACAUGGUAUCCCCGGAAGAAGCAGUCUUCACUCCACUUGCUGGCUGGUGACUUCACAAUUGCCUCCCGCUUUUAAGAGUCACCCGCCUGAGGAUGCGCCCAUUUGAGCUCCCUCUGCGCUGGUCCCUCCGCCAAGGAGCAAGAAAUAGCCAAAACAAAGGGAGCAGAAGCUAAAUAAGGGAGCAGGAGAAAAGCCAAAUGAACAGAAUAAGGCAUGCGCCUGGCUCGUCAGUGUCUGCCCAGGCAGGAGCCACCAUGCCUUCCUGGCACCCCCCACCCUCAUUGAUCUGCGACGCAAAACUAUUCGGCAGAUAUAGUUUCCUUCGUUUUCUCAUCAUCACCCUCAGAAUUAUUUUUCCCUUCCAAGGUGCAGUUUAUAUUUUGAGGUUCCCCCAAAGCCCCACCCCUCUCGUCUAAGAAGAGUACAAGGCAUAAAGUGUAAACUAGGCAUCUUGGGAAUCAGGAUAGUUAAUAGAGAGAAAUACAGAAACAGAAAAGAAGAAAAGUGGAGACAUUUAUUGCCUGGGGGUAAAGAGUCGGCCUGGACAGAAUGACCUCCGCCAGGUCAGAGUUCCCUUCCCGAAGCUGGAAUUCUAAUUCAGCUUCCCCUAGGCCUCUAGGCGCCACCUCCUGGUUGUCUCAGGAAUUUUUUAAAGACCAAGAAUUAGGGGCACCUGGGUGGCUCAGUGUGUUAAAGCCUCU